rnacentral:rRNA from 1 species
AGGACGAACGCUGGCGGCGUGCUUAACACAUGCAAGUGGAGCGACGAACCAGGGCUUGCCCUGGGGCAGAGCCGCGAACGGGUGAGUAACACGUGGGUUACCUGCCUUGAUGACCGGGACAACCCGAGGAAACUCGGGCUAAUACCGGAUGUGCCCGCAAGGGGAAAGGAAGCUUCGGCCUCCGCAUCAAGAUGGGCCCGCGGCCCAUUAGCUUGUUGGUGAGGUAACGGCUCACCAAGGCUUCGAUGGGUAGCUGGUCUGAGAGGACGAUCAGCCACACUGGGACUGAGACACGGCCCAGACUCCUACGGGAGGCAGCAGUGGGGAAUCUUGCGCAAUGCGCGAAAGCGUGACGCAGCAACGCCGCGUGGGGGAAGAAGGCUUCGGGUUGUAAACCCUUUCAGUUGGGACGAAGCUUCUCCGGUGAAUAGCCGGAUGGAGUGACGGUACCUUCACAAGAAGCACCGGCUAACUCGCGCCAGCAGCCGCGGU